rnacentral:snoRNA from 1 species
UAACAAUGGUGAGGACAAAGGGCUUGUAGUUCUUUAAAUCUCUCACAGGCCUGAUAUAGGGUCUCACUAUCCUUUUGGGUAAAAGAUGAGAUUUGCUUCUUAAGGGC